GGACCUAAAGAACAGUCAAGAGAGAGAGCUAGGAAUAAUCUCCAAAUGCUUUCUGCUGAAAGGAUUCAAUAUAAGAACUGCUUUGUUUGCAUUAAACGACCUGAAGAUAAUUCUGUCAAAACCAAGCUAAUAGCAAAAAUAUGUACCAAAUACACCAGCUAACAAGAUACCAUUUAGCACAACUGCUUAUUUUGGCCCUCCGUAUUGCCAUCCCAGAAUGCCCCAUUCUUGGAUAACAUGCAUUGUAUCUGGGGUAUUGCAGACCAGUUCAGUCAGGAUAAACUGAGGAUGCUCCCAUGUGGGGAAAGAAUGUCCUGCAAUGUCACAGAAGAAGAUUACCAGCUGACAAAUGCUUGCAACUCUGCCUGAUUAGCUAACUAAGCAGAACCCGUCACAUUAUUCCAGGCUGGUGACUCCAAACUUCAGAACUUGAAUUGCUAGGUAGCCCUUUGCUUUGAGUGAUUGCUUGUAUGUUAUUCUAAAAGAACAAUUUCAAGCAGUGACAUGCUGUAUACAAAUA